rnacentral:rRNA from 1 species
GACGAACGCUGGCGGCGUGCUUAACACAUGCAAGUCGAACGGAAAGGCCCUGCUUGCAGGGUACUCGAGUGGCGAACGGGUGAGUAACACGUGGGUUAUCUGCCCUGCACUUCGGGAUAAGCCUGGGAAACUGGGUCUAAUACCGGAUAGGAGCCAUUUUUAGUGUGAUGGUUGGAAAGUUUUUUCGGUGUAGGAUGAGCUCGCGGCCUAUCAGCUUGUUGGUGGGGUAAUGGCCUACCAAGGCGGCGACGGGUAGCCGGCCUGAGAGGGUGGACAGCCACAUUGGGACUGAGAUACGGCCCAGACUCCUACGGGAGGCAGCAGUGGGGAAUAUUGCACAAUGGGCGCAAGCCUGAUGCAGCGACGCCGCGUGGGGGAUGACGGCCUUCGGGUUGUAAACUCCUUUCGCUAGGGACGAAGCUUUUUGUGACGGUACCUAGAUAAGAAGCACCGGCUAACUACGU